CACGUAGGAGGCAAACGUUAUCCGGAUUCACUGGGCGUAAAGCGCGUGUAGGUGGUUCUGUAAGUAGGGCGUGAAAGCUCCCGGCUCAACUGGGAGAGGCCGUACUAAACUGCAGAGCUAGAGGAUGGUAGAGGGAGGUGGAAUUCCAGGUGUAGUGGUGAAAUGCGCAGAUAUCUGGAGGAACACCAGUGGCGAAGGCGGCCUCCUGGACCAUUCCUGACACUCAGACGCGAAAGCUAGUGUAGCAAACGGAUUAGAUACCCCCGUAGU
rnacentral:rRNA from 1 species